UUGAAAGGGAAACGAUUGAAGUCAGUCAUGCUGGUGGGAAUCAACUUAGGGGAAACUCUAGGUGCACUUCUUCGCUUGGCAGGUUAACGUCGAUCUUGAAUGCCAUAAAAUAAUUGGGGGAAGGUAGCUCCUUCGGGAGUGUUAUAGCCCUUGAUAGAUGUGAUGUUUGGGGUCGAGGAUUGCAACGGAUACCCUUUGGGGCUAGCCGCCUGAUCUCUAAUCGGUGUUGGGUUACGGAUAGCAUGCUGACCGUGAUCUAAUUACUGGUUAAAAGGUUAGAGCGUGUAUAAAUUCGUUAAGGAUGUUGACGUA
rnacentral:rRNA from 1 species